rnacentral:lncRNA from 1 species
GUGUUAAUGGAAUUUUCUGAAUCUAAAGGUAGCUGCACUAAGAACCCGUGUACAGUAGAGUCUUCAUUCAAAGAUGUAAUGUACUUCAUCACCUAAAAGUACCAUGAUUGCACCAGUGCACAGUGAGUCAUGGUACUAUGGCUGGGCAGCCUGGGCAACAGAGAGAGACCUUGUCUCUUAAAAAAAAAAAAAAAGAGAGAGACAGGGAGAAACUUGUAGUGCAGAGGCCAAAUCCUUUGAACCACCAUGCAGUGUCUCACUGUGUUCCCUCUGUUUCUUUGACCAUGAACAUAUUUAUAGUUUAUCAUUGUAUUUGUUGCCAAUGAUAAAAUGUAAGUUUUUGGGUGAAAAUUAAAAUUUUUUAUCCACCCUUGUGAGCUUGACAGCUUCUCAAUACUUGAAAACUUCUCUGAUGAGCUUGUUGGUGAUGUUAAUGAUUCCAAUUCUUUCAUAUUGCAUAAUGAAAUGUUAACAUUUGGAAGA